rnacentral:rRNA from 1 species
GUCCACGCCGUAACGAUGAGAACUAGGUGUUGCGGGUAUUGACCCCUGCAGUGCCGCAGCUAACGCAUUAAGUUCUCCGCCUGGGAAGUACGGUCGCAAGACUAAACUCAAAGGAAUUGACGGGGCCCGCACAAGCGGUGGAGCAUGUGGUUUAAUUCGACGCAACGCGCAGAACCUUACCUGGGCUUGACAUCUACGGAACCUUCGUGAAAGCGAGGGGUGCCUUUCGGGGAGCCGUAAGACAGGUGCUGCAUGGCUGUCGU